rnacentral:sRNA from 1 species
AACAAAAAUAAUUCACAAAGUCUGAGUCUAAGAAAUCAUACCAAUGAUCGCUCUGUUGCUGGUACUGCCUAUCUCACGCGUAGUAUAGCCAUGUGGUGCCGCUACAAUAUGUGCUAACUGCUGCACAUUCUGCUGCACUCCUUGCUGCACCUGCGCUCUGUGCUGCACCGCCGGCUGUACUAGUGCUACUGUCAUCUGCUGCAGCUUAGGACAAUUUGUCUAAGAUGUCCUCUCUCCCUGCAGUGGUAGCACUCCCUCGUCUAAGGUCGCCGCGUACAAUCCGCUACCUUGUGGUCAAGGUUCUCACAAGAAAAACAUCCCGCACGACCACCCUGUCCAGCUCUAAAAGGAUGAUCCCACUUCCUCUUCUGCACCUGCGCAGGCUUGCCGCCCUUGCUAGGUGCCACCUGCUGUUGAAUCUUCUUCGGUUGUACCGAUGGACUGACUGCCACCACUUGCCUCUGAAGGUCCUCCUCUACCUCAGCAGCUGUCUACACCAGGGCCGCCUUCGUGGCGUACUGCGACACUCUACACCGCACCCUCAAAUCCGGUCGAAGUCCCCUCAAGAACCUUCUCAUCUGGGCCUGGUCAUCCUCCAUGCCCCGACCCGCAUACACCAAGAGUCGCUUAAACUCACGGCCAUACUCCCGAACUGACAACUCACCCUUUGUCAGCUCAAGAAAACGUGCCUCCAUACGGUCGAGCGCCUCCUGCGGAAAGUACUUGGCAUUAAACUCAGCCACGAAAUCUGUCCAAGACAUAUCCGCCUGCCUCCUCCUAACAGUCACACUCCGCCAUCACAAAUGUGCAUCCCCAUCUAGAAAAUGCACUGCCAGAUCCACCGAUACUCCGCCGGGCAUCUUCUAGAACCGAAUUCCUUUCAACCCGCGACCUCUAACUGUCGGCCUCCUCAGCACUAGUACCACCAGAAAAAUACCCGUGCCAAUCCUCUGCAACUGCUCCAUCAUCCUCAAAUAAGAUGGAACCUCCUCAACAACUGCAGCCCUCUGCUGCACCUCCGCCACUCGUGGCGCAACUGGAGCAUGCACUGGUACCACACCUGGUAACCGCUCCAACAACUGUCUAAGUAGGCCCGCCAAACCAACCUCUGGAACCUGGGCUCCUCCUGCUGCGACACCUAACACUCCUGGGUCCUUAGCACCAACGGCAUGCACACCAACACUGACACCAGCUCCACCAGCCCCCACUCCGGUUGCACCAGCUAUAUCGGCACCAAGACCGUCCCCAACCCCGGGCUCCACAAACUCAAGUUGCGAACCCACACUCUGCUCAAUCGUGGCACUGCGGCCAUCACUCUCGCCGAUACCCUCGAGGACUCGUCUCCUACCGCGACCACGACCACGACCACGAUCACGACCAUGAACUUCAGCUCCUCUAACCAUCUGCGCUACUCAAGAACAAAUGGCUAAGAAACUAAAACAAACAAAUAUAUCACAAACAACUUACCGUGGAAUCUCAUUUAAGGCUCAGAGAAGAUGAUGCUAGGACUCCAACAAACACAAUUGACUAAACACUCCAUAAUCAAUCCUCAUUAUGCUAACGCCCUAACUCAUCCCACAUCAAUCAUCAGAAAAAAUAAUUCAUCAAUUAAUUAUUCUACACAUCCUAAAACCGUGAUCGCUCUGAUACCAAAUUGAAACAACCCGACCCAUUUUUUUUAAACAUAAUUAAAUAUUCCCAUAAAUAUCUAAUUAAACAACCAAUAAACCAACAAUUGAACCGCAAGUCAAAAAUACUAUUUUAUGAAUAAAUAAAUAAUUCGACCAACAAAACCAAGAAUAACUAACAAUCCUAACCGGGUUCCAAUAACCAAAACACAAAAAUAAAUCAAAUGAGUUUCUAGAUCAUCCUCUCUUUCUUGCCAUGAUUCCACGAUCACACUUUAUCUUUACCUGCAUCAAAAAGAAAGAGAUGCGUAAGUAUUAUCACAAAUACUUAGUGAGGCGAUCCUCCCAUCUACGAGAUAUACACACAAGCAAAUAAAAGCGGCAUAAUCACAAAUACCACACAAACAAACCAGUCACUGAACAAUUCACCAAAACACAUUCACCACACCUACAUAUCAUCACACAAAACAAAUCACACAACCCAAUCGCUCAGAUAAGGCCAUGGUCACGCACUCACCUUAACAAAUUGAUUCUAACAAUAAUU